GACGAACGCUGGCGGCGUGCUUAACACAUGCAAGUCGAACGGAAAGGCCCUGCUUUUGUGGGGUGCUCGAGUGGCGAACGGGUGAGUAACACGUGAGUAACCUGCCCUUGACUUUGGGAUAACUUCAGGAAACUGGGGCUAAUACCGGAUAGGAGCUCCUGCUGCAUGGUGGGGGUUGGAAAGUUUCGGCGGUUGGGGAUGGACUCGCGGCUUAUCAGCUUGUUGGUGGGGUAGUGGCUUACCAAGGCUUUGACGGGUAGCCGGCCUGAGAGGGUGACCGGCCACAUUGGGACUGAGAUACGGCCCAGACUCCUACGGGAGGCAGCAGUGGGGAAUAUUGCACAAUGGGCGGAAGCCUGAUGCAGCAACGCCGCGUGCGGGAUGACGGCCUUCGGGUUGUAAACCGCUUUCGCCUGUGACGAAGCGUGAGUGACGGUAAUGGGUAAAGAAGCACCGGCUAACUACGUGCCAGCAGCCGCGGGGAUACGUAGGGUGCGAGCGUUGUCCGGAUUUAUUGGGCGUAAAGGGCUCGUAGGUGGUUGAUCGCGUCGGAAGUGUAAUCUUGGGGCUUAACCCUGAGCGUGCUUUCGAUACGGGUUGACUUGAGGAAGGUAGGGGAGAAUGGAAUUCCUGGUGGAGCGGUGGAAUGCGCAGAUAUCAGGAGGAACACCAGUGGCGAAGGCGGUUCUCUGGGCCUUUCCUGACGCUGAGGAGCGAAAGCGUGGGGAGCGAACAGGCUUAGAUACCCUGGUAGUCCACGCUGUAAACGGUGGGUACUAGGUGUGGGGUCCAUUCCACGGGUUCCGUGCCGUAGCUAACGCUUUAAGUACCCCGCCUGGGGAGUACGGCCGCAAGGCUAAAACUCAAAGGAAUUGACGGGGCCCCGCACAAGCGGCGGAGCAUGCGGAUUAAUUCGAUGCAACGCGUAGAACCUUACCUGGGUUUGACAUGGAUCGGGAGUGCUCAGAGAUGGGUGUGCCUCUUUUGGGGUCGGUUCACAGGUGGUGCAUGGCUGUCGUCAGCUCGUGUCGUGAGAUGUUGGGUUAAGUCCCGCAACGAGCGCAACCCUUGUUCACUGUUGCCAGCACGUUAUGGUGGGGACUCAGUGGAGACCGCCGGGGUCAACUCGGAGGAAGGUGGGGAUGACGUCAAGUCAUCAUGCUCCUUAUGUCCAGGGCUUCACGCAUGCUACAAUGGCUGGUACAGAGAGUGGCGAGCCUGUGAGGGUGAGCGAAUCUCGGAAAGCCGGUCUCAGUUCGGAUUGGGGUCUGCAACUCGACCUCAUGAAGUCGGAGUCGCUAGUAAUCGCAGAUCAGCAACGCUGCGGUGAAUACGUUCCCGGG
rnacentral:rRNA from 1 species